rnacentral:misc_RNA from 1 species
GAUGAAGAACGCAGCGAAAUGCGAUAAGUAAUGUGAAUUGCAGAAUUCAGUGAAUCAUCGAAUCUUUGAACGCACAUUGCGCCCCUUGGUAUUCCGAGGGGCAUGCCUGUUCGAGCGUCAUUAUAACCCCUCAAGCUCAGCUUGGUGUUGGGGCCUGCUGCACUGGCAGCCCUUAAAAUCAGUGGCGGCGCCAUCUGGCUCUAAGCGUAGUAAUUCUUCUCGCUAUGGAGUCCUGGUGGAUACUUGCCAUCAACCCCCAAUUUUUCUAUGGUUGACCUCGGAUCAGGUAGGGAUACCCGCUGAACUUAAGCAUAUCAAUAAGCGGAGGA